rnacentral:misc_RNA from 1 species
GAUGAAGAACGUAGCGAAAUGCGAUACUUGGUGUGAAUUGCAGAAUCCCGUGAACCAUCGAGUCUUUGAACGCAAGUUGCGCCCGAAGCCAUUAGGCCGAGGGCACGCCUGCCUGGGCGUCACACGUCGUUGCCCCCCCAUCUACUCCUUCGGGGUUGCGGGGGGCGGAUGAUGGCCUCCCGUGCGCCUCGUCGCGCGGUUGGCAUAAAUGCCAAGUCCUCGGCGACGCACGCCACGACAAUCGGUGGUUGCGAAACCUCGGUUGCCCGUCGUGUGCGGUCGUCGCGCAUCGAGGGCUCGAAAAAAUUGCCGGGCUCCGGCUCGGCUUUCAACGCGACCCCAGGUCAGGCGGGGUUACCCGCUGAAUUUAAGCAUAUCAAUAAGCGGAGGA